UCAUAUUUUUAAGAUUCCUGUGGUUUUUUUUUUUUUUUUUUUACUCGUUUUUUUUGAAAACUGAAUAUUUAACAAUCAACACCAAGAAGUAAUCGAGAGGAAGGAGAGAGUGGAAAGAAGAGAGGAG
rnacentral:ribozyme from 15 species